GCAACCCUAUAAAUACUCCCUUACGUAUAGGUGUGAUUCAUUGAGUGACUGAGGUUUCACCUGACACACACACAGAGAUACAAGCUGUGGGUCGGGCGUUAGACGGCUAGGGGACGGGCAACAACGCUCAGUUCGUCCGUACCCGUCCGACAUGACGAGGAAUGCUUUUGGAUGGACUAUAUAGAAUAACGUCUUGGAGACGUUUUGGCGUGACAUUAUAUGCUUGCACAAUCGGAACACUAUAAGUGAUUGUCAUCUCUACAUCCGGUUUACCGUAUGUCUCUGCGCGCCACCCAGGACCGGUAUAAAUAAAUCCACGCAAUAUGUCGGGACAAAACCGCCUGACAUCCCAAGCACGCAGACAGUUUCUUAGUCCGUUGACUGGUUCCACUGUUUACAUGCGCACCUCGCUGUGAGAAUUGUCUACAGAUGUCUGGCGGCCGGGAUCCCAGUCAUCAUUACGACAUGCCGUCAACUGUUACUGCUUCUGGACGACAGGAUUUUUAAUGAAUGAGGAAUUAACAGAUUUGAACAAGGUCGUAAAAAUACAUCUGAUGUAAUACUGAAAGUGUUCUAUUUUAACUGGACUUAAAUAAAUUUGGUCUUUCCAUGUUUUCAUACUAUUUUUCACUCUUGAAUAUUAAGAGUUCAAGAGCUAAAUUUGGGAAAGGCUAACCCUGUUAAAGUGGAUUGAAUACAUUUCACACCAUUUUGUGAGUCUCCUAACAGAUUGUAGGAUGCCUAUCACUUUAAAAGUGUCAAGAUAGUUACUUUGUUUCAUUUCGAGUCUCCAAACACAGAUUGUAGGUGCCUAUCACUUUAAC